UGACGCUGGCGGCAGGCUUACACAUGCAAGUCGAGCGGAGCGAGGGUGCUUGCACCUUAGCUUAGCGGCGGACGGGUGAGUAAUGCUUAGGAAUCUGCCUAUUAGUGGGGGACAACAUUCCGAAAGGGAUGCUAAUACCGCAUACGCCCUACGGGGGAAAGCAGGGGAUCUUCGGACCUUGCGCUAAUAGAUGAGCCUAAGUCGGAUUAGCUAGUUGGUGGGGUAAAGGCCUACCAAGGCGACGAUCUGUAGCGGGUCUGANAGGAUGAUCCGCCACACUGGGACUGAGACACGGCCCAGACUCCUACGGGAGGCAGCAGUGGGGAAUAUUGGACAAUGGGGGGAACCCUGAUCCAGCCAUGCCGCGUGUGUGAAGAAGGCCUUUUGGUUGUAAAGCACUUUAAGCGAGGAGGAGGCGCUCUAGGCUAAUACCCUAGAUGCGUGGACGUUACUCGCAGAAUAAGCACCGGCUAACUCUGUGCCAGCAGCCGCGGUAAUACAGAGGGUGCGAGCGUUAAUCGGAUUUACUGGGCGUAAAGCGCGCGUAGGUGGCUAAUUAAGUCAAAUGUGAAAUCCCCGAGCUUAACUUGGGAAUUGCAUUCGAUACUGGUUAGCUAGAGUAUGGGAGAGGAUGGUAGAAUUCCAGGUGUAGCGGUGAAAUGCGUAAAGAUCUGGAGGAAUACCGAUGGCGAANGCAGCCAUCUGGCCUAAUACUGACNCUGAGGUGCGAAAGCAUGGGGAGCNAACAGGAUUANAUACCNUGGUAGUCCAUGCCGUAANCGAUGUCUACUANCCGUUGGGGCCUUUGAGNCUUUANUGGCNCACCUAACNCGAUAAAUAAACCCCNGGGGAAUACGNNCCCANACUAAACUCAAUGANUUGACGGGGCCCCCCAACGGUGGACAUGUGUUUAUNCAUGCAC
rnacentral:rRNA from 1 species